UACAGAGGGUGCAAGCGUUGUUCGGAAUCAUUGGGCGUAAAGCGCGUGUAGGCGGCUUUGCAAGUCGGGUGUGAAAGCCCUCAGCUCAACUGAGGAAGUGCGCCCGAAACUGCAGAGCUUGAGUGCCGGAGAGGGUGGCGGAAUUCCCCAAGUAGAGGUGAAAUUCGUAGAUAUGGGGAGGAACACCGGUGGCGAAGGCGGCCACCUGGACGGUAACUGACGCUGAGACGCGAAAGCGUGGGGAGCAAACAGG
rnacentral:rRNA from 1 species